UUUGCAACCUGACACUGUUCAGCUUUUUUAUCUUUUACCAGUAUUUGGGGACUUAUUGGGGAUUCCUUUGAUAAUUUCAGGAAGAAAGAAGUGGAAUGGAAGGAGCCAGUAACUGUCCCAGGUCAGAAAACGCCUCUGAAAAGGAUCUACAUUACACCCAAAGUUCAUUGGAUAACUGCACCCUCAACAAUCAGGAGACAAUAAGUGGUGUAGACAGAGCUAAUAUCUUCCCCAAAUCAGAUGGUACCUCUGAAGACAUUCAGCAUUCCACAGACUGUUCACAGGUUGAGACUUUCCACAUUCAGGAGACAAUAAGUGGUACGAACCAAGCCAGUAACUGCCCCAAAUCAGAUGGUGCCUCUGAAGACAAUCAGCAUUGCACAGACAGUUCACAGCAUGACAGUAUCUUCCACAUUCAGGAGACAAUAAAGGGUAUGAACCAAGCCAGUAACUGCCCCAAAUCAGAUGGUGCCUCUGAAGACAAUCAGCAUUGCACAGACAGUCCACAGCAUGACAGUAUCUUCCACAUUCAGGAGACAAUAAAGGGUAUGAACCAAGCCAGUAACUGCCCCAAAUCAGAUGGUGCCUCUGAAGACAAUCAGCAUUGCACAGACAGUCCACAGCAUGACAGUAUCUUCCACAUUCAGGAGACAAUAAAGGGUACGAACCAAGCCAGUAACUGCCCCAAAUCAGAUGGUGCCUCUGAAGACAAUCAGCAUUGCACAGACAGUUCACAGCAUGACAGUAUCUUCCACAUUCAGGAGACAAUAAAGGGUACGAACCAAGCCAGUAACUGCCCCAAAUCAGAUGGUGCCUCUGAAGACAAUCAGCAUUGCACAGACAGUUCACAGCAUGACAGUAUCUUCCACAUUCAGGAGACAAUAAAGGGUACGAACCAAGCCAGUAACUGCCCCAAAUCAGAUGGUGCCUCUGAAGACAAUCAGCAUUGCACAGACCGUCCACAGCAUGACAGUAUCUUCCACAUUCAGUGGCUCUUGAUGUAGAACCACCCAUAGAUCCUUCUGCAAAAGAAGUCCAGAAAUCUUCAAUUGAACAAGCAACAGAAAUAACAAGUACCACAACUACCAUGAAAGGUACUGUUUGUUAAACUUCAUAGAAAGCCUUUAUGAACUUAAAAAUCUCUGUUUUUUCUGAUGUGCUUUGUUCAUUCAGGUCGAAAGGUGGUAAAGAAAAAGAAAUGGGACAGUGAUGAAAUGAAUGCAGUUGAAAAGCAUCUAAACAGGUUCAUCAAAACUUGUACAGUGCCAGGAAAACAACAAUGUGAGGCCUGUAUAAAUGCUGAACCUGUUGCCUUGAAAGACAGGGAUUGGUUGUCUGUAAAGUUCUUUGUGAAGAACAAAAUCACUACCCUUAAAAGAAGAAUGUAAAGUCAGUUAUUUUAUUUUGUUUGGUAUCUUAUUUUCUGGUAUUUUAGAUUUCUGGUUAUUACAUUUGUUUUAAAAGGAUCUUAGAAUCUCUUUUUUUUUUUUUUUUGGAAAUGGGUGC
rnacentral:lncRNA from 1 species